rnacentral:tRNA from 1 species
AGGCGUAUCGGGCGCUUUCCGCCGCUCCGCUGUACCCGGAGCGCUACGCCUGGUUGUGCAGCAAGGGUGUGGUGCGGGCCGCGUACGCGCU